rnacentral:snRNA from 1 species
GUGCUUGCUCAGGCAAAACAGUUCAUAACACUGGAACAAUACAGGGAGAUUAGCACGGCCCCUACACAAGGAUGACAUGCAGUUCAUGCAGUGCUCUGCACAUCAUG